rnacentral:rRNA from 1 species
UACGUAGGGCGCAAGCGUUGUCCGGAAUUAUUGGGCGUAAAGAGCUCGUAGGCGGUUUGUCGCGUCUGCUGUGAAAACCUAAGGCUCAACCUUGGGCUUGCAGUGGGUACGGGCAGACUAGAGUGCGGUAGGGGGUGACUGGAAUUCCUGGUGUAGCGGUGGAAUGCGCAGAUAUCAGGAGGGAACACCGAUGGCGAAGGGCA